rnacentral:rRNA from 1 species
AUACGGAGGACGCGAGCGUUAUCCGGAUUCAUUGGGUUUAAAGGGUGCGCAGGCGGCCGUGCAAGUCAGCGGUGAAAGCCCGGGGCUCAACCCCGGAAGUGCCGUUGAUACUGCAUGGCUGGAAUGCGGUCGAGGCGGGCGGAACGGGGGGUGUAGAGGUGAAAUGCGUAGAUAUGCCACAGAACGCCGAUUGCGUAGGCAGCUGACCAGACCGCAAAUGACGCUCAUGCACGAAAGUGCGGGGAUCGAACAGGAUUAGAUACCCUGGUAGGCCGCACAGUAAACGAUGAAUACUUGUUUUCGGCGAUAUAAUGUCGGAGGCAAAGCGAAAGCGAUAAGUAUUCCACCUGGGGAGUACGCCGGCAACGGUGAAACUCAAAUGAAUUGACGGGG